CGCCUCUGCCGCCGCGGAGCCGCUCGCCCCUGGUCAGGCGUUGCUGAGCCGUGCCCGGAGGCCGGCCAAGGAGGCUGCAGCCCCAGCCAGGAGCCCGCAGCCCCCGCCUCGAGCCCUCCGCCGCCCUCCGAGGGCGCCCCAGGCCGCGCCAUGGUGAAGGUGACGUUCAAUUCGGCUCUGGCCCAGAAGGAGGCCAAGAAGGACGAGCCCAAGUGCGGCGAGGAGGCACUCAUCAUCCCCCCCGAUGCCGUCGCGCUAGACUGCAAGGACCCAGAUGAAGUGGUACCAGUUGGCCAAAGAAGAGCCUGGUGUUGGUGCAUGUGCUUUGGACUAGCAUUUAUGCUUGCAGGUGUUAUUCUAGGAGGAGCAUACCUGUACAAAUAUUUUGCACCUCAACCCGAUGAUGUGUACUACUGUGGAAUAAAGUAUAUCAAAGAUGAUGUCAUCUUAAACGAGCCUUCUGCAGAUGUCCUGGCUGCUCGCUACCAGACAAUUGAGGAAAAUAUUAAGAUCUUUGAGGAAGAAGAGGUUGAAUUCAUCAGUGUACCUGUCCCAGAAUUUGCAGAUAGUGAUCCUGCCAACAUUGUUCAUGACUUUAACAAGAAACUCACAGCCUAUUUAGAUCUUAAUCUGGAUAAGUGCUAUGUGAUUCCACUGAACACUUCCAUUGUUAUGCCACCAAGAAACCUGCUGGAGUUACUUAUUAACAUAAAGGCUGGAACCUAUUUGCCUCAGUCCUAUCUCAUUCAUGAACACAUGGUUAUCACUGAUCGCAUUGAAAACGUCGAUCACCUGGGUUUCUUUAUUUACCGACUGUGCCAUGACAAGGAAACUUACAAACUGCAACGCAGAGAAACCAUCAGAGGUAUUCAGAAACGUGAAGUCAGCAAUUGUGUUACAAUUCGGCAUUUUGAAAACAAAUUUGCUGUGGAAACUGUAAUUUGUCCUUGAACAGUCAAGAAAAACAUUACAGGAGAAAAAUUUAAUAUCGCAGCAUAACCCCACCCUUUGUAUUUUGUGCAGUGAUUAUUUUUUAAGAUCUUCUUUCAUGUAAGUAGCAAACAGGGCUUCACUCUCUUUUCAUCUCAUUAAUUCAAUUAAAACCAUUACCUUUUAAAAAUC